AUGCAGAAGACACAGGUUCAAUCCCUGGGUUGGGAAGAUCGCCUGGAGAAAAAAUGGCAACCCACUGCAGUAUUUUUGCGGGGAGAAUCCCAUGGACAAAGAAGUCUGGUGGGCUGCAGUCUAUGGGGUUGCAACAGGGUUGCACGUGACAUACGACUAAACAACAGCCACAACAGAUGGUGCCGCUCGUGGCCGUCUUGGCCUUGCACCUGGCUUUCAGGGCACUCCUCGCAUUUCACCAGUGGCGUCUCAAGCAGAACUCGAAACAAUGCCAGCAGAAGCAGUUGCCCCAUCUUCUCAGGACAGAGUGUUACAGAGGACACUUUCCCAGAGGGCUGUGCUGUGAGGCAUCCAGAGCUGUGGCUUCAGGUACAUGCGCUUCAGGGCAGCUCUGUAGCUGCCCACGCUCUGAGUCAGUGAAUAAGCGUACAUACACUAAACAUCUAGUAGAUACCAGGCAAUGGGGAUGCAAUGCUGAAUCACACACAGUUCCUGUCCUUAAGGGGCUUGCAGUCUAGAGGGGAGACGAGGAAGUGACUGCAUGUGGUGGGGGUGGUCAGUGAAGCUGAGUACCUACCUUACCCAAGGUGAGAUGCAGAGAGGCUGCUCAGCCUUGGGAGUGUAGAAACUGCUUUUUCCUCAAGCACCAGAGAAGCUCAUGUACAGAAUUUUCCUCAUUUUGCAGUGUUUGUUUAACACACUAUUUUUUCUUUCCUUUUCUUCUAUUGUUAUUAUUUUGGCCCUGCCAUGGGACAUGUGAAAUCCUCGCUCCGGGACGAUGGGUUGAACUCACGCCCCCUACAUUGGAAGCACAGAGUCCCAACCACUGGACCACUAGAGAAGUCCCAGACUUUAAUUUUUAGAGCAGUUUUAGGUUCACAGAAAAAGUGAGAAGAAUAUACAAAGGGUUCCCAUAUACCCCUUGCCCUCAUACAUGCCUAACCUCCUCCACUAUCAACAUCCUGCCUUAGAGUGGCACAUUUGUUACAAGAACCUAAAUUGACUCGUCCCUGUAACCCAAUAUCCAUAGUUUACAUUCGCAUUUACUCUUGGUGUAUAUUCUGUGGGUUUUGACAAAUGCAUAAGGACAUGCGUCCAUCGUCAUAGUACCAUGCAGAGUAAUUUCACUGCCUAAAAUAUCCUAUGUGUGCUGCCCGUUCAGUGCUCCCUACCCCCACCCCCAGCCCACUGAUUUCUUUACUGUCUGUAUAGUUCUGCCUUUUCCAGAAUAUUAUGUGUUUGGGAUCAUAGAGUAUGUAGCCUUUUCAGAUUGCCUUCCUUCAUUAAUAAUAUGCUUUUAAUAUCCCUCCGUGUCUUCUUGUGGAUUCGUAGCUCAUUUCUUAUUAGUGCUGAAUAAUAUUCCCUUGUAUGGAUGUGUCACAGUUUAUCCAUUCACCUACUGUAGAGCAUCCUGGUUGUCUUCAAGUUUUGGCAAUUCUCUGUAAAAUUGCAACAAAGAUCUGUGUGCAGAUUUUAGCAAGGAAUGUGAUUACUGGAGUAUAUGGUCAGACUGUUUAGUUUUGUAAGAAACCUUCAAACUUCAAAAGCAGUUAUACCAUGGUAUAUAUAUAUUUUAAAUGACUUAAUCUUGAAUCCAGCAGUACCUAUAUGAGGUGUGUUUUCAGAGACUUCAGAAAACUUCCCUGAUCAGCCGUUAGUUGGCAGAUGCCUCUCAUUCUGUCCUCAUAUUUCAUCUAAAUAGUUUGAGUUUUUGAACUCUGUCAAAAUACAAACUCUUGUAUAAUUGGUAACAAUUUUCACUGUCGUCAAUUACGUNNNNNNNNNNNNNNNNNNNNNNNNNNNNNNNNNNNNNNNNNNNNNNNNNNNNNNNNNNNNNNNNNNNNNNNNNNNNNNNNNNNNNNNNNNNNNNNNNNNGUAUUGUUCCUGUCCCAGGAGUAUUUGCUGUAUGCAGGGUUAGAGAUCUGUUUUGUUUACUCUAAUAAGUGGAGAAGGAGCCAGCAGUCAGCAGGCACUGAACUAGAACUGGGCACACAGAGGUAAAGAGGAGCAAGCUGUGUCCUUGAAGAGCUAACCACCCAGGCAUGUACACACACAAUUUCAGUAUAACAUGGUAAGUACUAUAAUCACAAAAUUGAUCUUCAGAUAGUCUGCCUAGCUGUCAAUUGAUGUGUCAAAUCAUGUGUUGCAGUCUUUGGUACAGAAAAUAUGGUUUGCUCAAAUAGAGGUAUUAACGCACCAUCGGAGCUCAGCAGUGAGCAUGACUGACUCAGCCUGGAGGCUCUGAGAAUUCUUCACAGAGGAGACAAAGUUGGGGUUUAAUAUUCAAAAACAUAUGUGAUAGUUCCUGGCACAGGAGAGAGACAGGUUUUAAGGCAGACAGUUAAGUGUGUGUGUGUAAAGGUGUGAAGUAGGAAAGAGUUUGGUCUGUCUGAGGGAAGUGCUUCAGUGUGGUCAGAGAAGAAAGCAUCUGAGUUGGCGGCAGGAGAGGUGGAAAGGAGGAGGCAGGAUGACAUGCAGGCAGGAGGCAGCGUGUGAAGGACUUUAUAUCAUAGGCAGGAAGCGAACCUUGUAGUAGUCCAGUAGGAUAGCCAUUAACCAUAUGGCCCUUGAGUACAUGAAAUGUGUCCAAUGCAACUGAAGGGCAGAAUUUUUUGUUUUAUUUCAUUGAUGUAAAUUAAAAAUGGAAAUAGUAUAAAAUAGAAAGAUACAUAGAUAACAUGUCGAAAUGAUUAUAUUUUGGAUGGGUUAGUUAAAUACAGUACGCUAUUAAAAUUAACUUCACUUGUUCCUUUUCAGUUUUUAAAAAUGUGGCUACUAGAACCUUUAAAAUUAUGUGUUCAGCUCACAUUAUAUUUUUGUUGGACUGUGCUGCUAUAGGCAGUUGGAAGCCACUGAGAGAUUUUGUGCAAGACAUGAAUGUGAUCAGAUUGGGGUUUUAUUUUUUAAUUUUUUUUUAAUUUUUUAAAUUAUGAAAGUAUGGUGACACAUUUACAGGAGACUUGGAAAAUACAGAACAAAAUCACAUAUAGUUCCCCUAUAACAGUUAUUAUUUCAAGUAGAUAAAUUAAGCUUUUUAGUUAGAGUUUCAAUAUCAAACUCUCAAAAAUUAAGAGAAUGAAUAGACAGAAAAGUAGAAGGAUAUAGUAGACCUGAAAAGCACUAUGAAACAAUUCAACAUAAUUAAGAUUUAUACAAUUUUCACACAACAAAAGGGUACAAAUUUAUUCAAGUUCCCAUAGACUAUAAACCAGGAGACACAGAAACAUAUCCAGAGAUGUAAAAAAGUAUACACAGUCUGUUCUCUUAUCACUGUGUAAUUAUGUUAGAAAUCAAUAUCAAAAGAUACUUGAAAAUAACCCACAUAUNNNNNNNNNNNNNNNNNNNNNNNNNNNNNNNNNNNNNNNNNNNNNNNNNNNNNNNNNNNNNNNNNNNNNNNNNNNNNNNNNNNNNNNNNNNNNNNNNNNAUAUCAAAAGAUACUUGAAAAUAACCCACAUAUUUUCAAGUGCAAUGUGAGAUCUUUGAUUUAGCCACAGAAAUCUUUGAUUUAGCCAGAGAGAUCUUUGAUUGAGCUAUUGAAAGCCUCAAGAAGGUUAAAAGACUAAAAAACCAGAAAGCAAUUGCAGAGAAAGAAAUAUUUAAAUGAGACAUUAAUAUCAAAAUGAGAAAUUAAUGUAAAGAUACUUCAAAAACCCCUUGUAUUUGGAAAUUAAGUGUCCACUUUUGAAUAAUGGGUGUUUCUAAGGAGAUAUAACAAGGAAAAUUAUAAAAUAUUUGUAACAGAAGAGAAAUGAAAACAGAAUGGACACUAGUAUAAAAUUUUCUGAAAUUUGAACAAAAUCUGUACUUUAGUUAAUAAUACUCUGAAAGUAAAAGUGAAAGUCGCUCAGUCAUGUCUGACUCUUUGCAGCCCCAUGGACCAUAGAGUCCAUGGAAUUCUCCUGGCCAGAAUACUGGAGUGGGUAGGCCUUUUUCCCUUCUUCAGGGGACCUUCCCAACCCAGGGAUCAAACCCAGGUCU
rnacentral:lncRNA from 1 species